rnacentral:rRNA from 1 species
GAUGAACGCUGGCGGCGUGCCUAAUACAUGCCAGUCGAGCGAACAGACGAGGAGCUUGCUCCUCUGACGUUAGCGGCGGACGGGUGAGUAACACGUGGAUAACCUACCUAUAAGACUGGGAUAACUUCGGGAAACCGGAGCUAAUACCGGAUAAUAUAUUGAACCGCAUGGUUCAAUAGUGAAAGACGGUUUUGCUGUCACUUAUAGAUGGAUCCGCGCCGCAUUAGCUAGUUGGUAAGGUAACGGCUUACCAAGGCAACGAUGCGUAGCCGACCUGAGGGGGUGAUCGGCCACACUGGAACGGAGACACGGUCCAGACGCCUACGGGAGGCAGCAGUAGGGAAUCUUCCGCAAUGGGCGAAAGCCUGACGGAGCAACGCCGCGUGAGUGAUGAAGGUCUUCGGAUCGUAAAACUCUGUUAUUAGGGAAGAACAAAUGUGUAAGUAACUAUGCACGUCUUGACGGUACCUAAUCAGAAAGCCACGGCUAACUACGUG